GACCCUUACUGAUGAAGACAACACUGACUGCCUGAUGUUGGCAUGCCAAAGAGGUAACAUAUCUAUUGUGAAACACAUCCUAUCAAUGAAAACAUGGGACAUCAACAGACGGGGAGGAAAGUCAAACCGAACACCAAUAAUGAUUGCAUCGGAAAGAGGACACUAUGAUGUUUAUCAUCUCCUUGUAUGUGAGGGCGCAGAUCUGGCCCUUACUGAUAAAGACAACACUGACUGCCUGAUGUUGGCAUGUGAAGGAGGAAACAUAUCUAUUGUGAAACACAUCCUUUCCUUGGAAACAUGUGACAUCAACAGACGGGGAGGAAAGUCAACACAAACACCAAUAAUGAUGGCAUUGGAAAGUGGACACUAUGGAGUUUAUCAUCUUCUUGUAUGUGAGGGCGCAGAUCUUACCCUUACUGAUAAAGACAACACUGACUGCCUGAUGUUGGCAUGUGAAGGAGGUGACAUAUCUAUUGUGAAACACAUCCUAUC